ensembl:lncRNA
GAAUAGUUCAGUCAAUUGUGAACAAUGCAAGAGGCUACUUGUUUCAAAUUACCCGUGCUGCUGAAAUAGUUACAGUUACACAGGCUACAGAUGAUACAUUAGAAAAUGCACAUUUUAUAACUUACGUAAUUGACAUUUGCUGAAAUGAUUAGCAGUAUGUUAUAAGUGCUCAGCCACUGGUGCAGACCAGCAACUGAAUCAAUCAGAAGAUGGACCAUUUUCUACGUUCACCAUUCAGCUACCCCUUCACUGCAGACAAGCUGAAGGCUAAAUCCUCAACUGGAGUCUUUCUCUGUAUGGAUCUCAGUAUUUUUGGACAGAAUUUAGGAUAUUGUUGGGAUCUCCACUGAAGGACUGAGUACAUUUGUGUUUGUAGACACGCAUACAGACCAGGGAACAUUCUGAUGUUGUCAGUCAUGUUCUGAUCAGGAGCCAGUCUUCGGAGAAGUUCAUUUAUUCCCGAAGGUGGACAAAAACAUUGUGUAGGCUUUUAAAAGGCUAUUUUGAUAAUGACUUUUACUCUUAUGCUGCGGAAAAGAUGGAGGAGUACAGACAUUGAUAAUAAGAAAUGUUUUUUAAACAUUAAAGAGACUUCUUUCAGAACACUUUGGCCACCAGUGUACAUCAAAAGUGAAAAGAUUAUGAAGGUGGGGUAAUGUGUCAUGUUAUCUAAUGAGAUGAAAAGAACUGUUUUGUCCCGUGUUGGGCAUUUCCCUUUUGACUGC